rnacentral:tRNA from 1 species
CGUCCUGCUGGUACGGCGCGGACAGGCGCCCUUCGAGGGGGCGUGGGCGCUGCCCGGCGGUUUCGUCCUGCCCAGGGAGUC